rnacentral:rRNA from 1 species
GAUAAACGCUGGCGGCGUGCCUAAUACAUGCAAGUCGAGCGAACGGACGAGAAGCUUGCUUCUCUGAUGUUAGCGGCGGACGGGUGAGUAACACGUGGAUAACCUACCUAUAAGACUGGGAUAACUUCGGGAAACCGGAGCUAAUACCGGAUAAUAUUUUGAACCGCAUGGUUCAAAAGUGAAAGACGGUCUUGCUGUCACUUAUAGAUGGAUCCGCGCUGCAUUAGCUAGUUGGUAAGGUAACGGCUUACCAAGGCAACGAUGCAUAGCCGACCUGAGAGGGUGAUCGGCCACACUGGAACUGAGACACGGUCCAGACUCCUACGGGAGGCAGCAGUAGGGAAUCUUCCGCAAUGGGCGAAAGCCUGACGGAGCAACGCCGCGUGAGUGAUGAAGGUCUUCGGAUCGUAAAACUCUGUUAUUAGGGAAGAACAUAUGUGUAAGUAACUGUGCACAUCUUGACGGUACCUAAUCAGAAAGCCACGGCUAACUACGUGCCAGCAGCCGCGGUAAUACGUAGGUGGCAAGCGUUAUCCGGAAUUAUUGGGCGUAAAGCGCGCGUAGGCGGUUUUUUAAGUCUGAUGUGAAAGCCCACGGCUCAACCGUGGAGGGUCAUUGGAAACUGGAAAACUUGAGUGCAGAAGAGGAAAGUGGAAUUCCAUGUGUAGCGGUGAAAUGCGCAGAGAUAUGGAGGAACACCAGUGGCGAAGGCGACUUUCUGGUCUGUAACUGACGCUGAUGUGCGAAAGCGUGGGGAUCAAACAGGAUUAGAUACCCUGGUAGUCCACGCCGUAAACGAUGAGUGCUAAGUGUUAGGGGGUUUCCGCCCCUUAGUGCUGCAGCUAACGCAUUAAGCACUCCGCCUGGGGAGUACGACCGCAAGGUUGAAACUCAAAGGAAUUGACGGGGACCCGCACAAGCGGUGGAGCAUGUGGUUUAAUUCGAAGCAACGCGAAGAACCUUACCGAAUCUUGACAUCCUCUGACCCCUCUAGAGAUAGAGUUUUCCCCUUCGGGGGACAGAGUGACAGGUGGUGCAUGGUUGUCGUCAGCUCGUGUCGUGAGAUGUUGGGUUAAGUCCCGCAACGAGCGCAACCCUUAAGCUUAGUUGCCAUCAUUAAGUUGGGCACUCUAAGUUGACUGCCGGUGACAAACCGGAGGAAGGUGGGGAUGACGUCAAAUCAUCAUGCCCCUUAUGAUUUGGGCUACACACGUGCUACAAUGGACAAUACAAAGGGCAGCGAAACCGCGAGGUCAAGCAAAUCCCAUAAAGUUGUUCUCAGUUCGGAUUGUAGUCUGCAACUCGACUACAUGAAGCUGGAAUCGCUAGUAAUCGUAGAUCAGCAUGCUACGGUGAAUACGUUCCCGGGUCU